CCUACGGGUGGCAGCAGUCGAGAAUCAUUGACAAUGGGGGAAACCCUGAUGGUGCGACGCCGCGUGGGGGAAUGAAGGUCUUCGGAUUGUAAACCCCUGUUAUGUGGGAGCAAAUUAAAAAGAUAGUACCACAAGAGGAAGAGCCGGCUAACUGUGUGCGACCAGCCGCGGUAAUACAGAGGUCGCAAGCGUUGUUCGGAAUCACUGGGCGUAAAGCGUGCGUAGGCUGUUUCGUAAGUCGUGGGUGAAAGGCGCGGGCUCAACCCGCGGACGGCACAUGAUACUGCGAGCCUAGGGUAAUGGAGGGGGAACCGGAAUUGUCGGUGUAGCAGGGAAAGGCGUAGAUA
rnacentral:rRNA from 1 species